rnacentral:pre_miRNA from 1 species
GAUUUCAACUGAAAAAGUCAACAAUAACAAAGUGGUAUAACUCAUCAAGAUCUAUAACUUUUAUUUUGGUCACUUCUUCAUCUGACAAAGUGAUUUGUAACAUUGUUCACAAAAUGUACAUAUCUCUUAUAUAGUUCUAUAAACUAUAAGAGAUAUAUGUAAAUUUUAUGAAAAUGUUACUAUCACAUUGUCAGAUAAAGAACUGACCAAAAUAUAAGUUAUAGAUCUUAAUGAGUUAUACAACUUUAUUGUUGAUGACUUUUUCAGUUGAAAUC